GGGAACAUUCGCUUUAUCACCGAAAGCAGCAAGAGUGCAAGAGAUCUUUGGAUGACGCAGAUGCGGGAUCAACUCCUACCAACGGACCGCAUACGAACAAUUCCAGAGGAAAUUGCGGGAUUUUUGCUUCAGCAGGUCAUAUCUCCCGACAGAGAAUACCAUUACCCGUUCUGCAAAUGAUCUGCAAAUUGUGCGAGAAAUUAUAUGAUAUAUGAUGAUUGCUUGUACGAGAAAUUUUAUGAUAUAUAAUCGGUUCUACGAUAAAUUUUAUUAUA